rnacentral:rRNA from 1 species
AUCUAUGGCCAUACCACCCUGAAUGUGCCUGAUCUCAUCUGCUCUUGGAAGAUAAGCAGGGUUGGGACUGGUUAGUACUUGGAUGGGAGACGUGAUGGAGUAUUCUAAAGACAGAUG